AUGUUAACUUCAGUACCUACCAAAAAGUUUGGGGAUUUUCAUUUCCUUGAAGAACUGGAUGUGCGCUAUUGUCCAAACAUCCGCCUACAAAGAUUGGUUUCACCGUCCCUUAAGAAUCUUAGUCUGCGGGAUUCUGUUCUCUUUUACAAAAUUGACUGCUGCUCCCUCACCGACUUUCGCUUACAUUGUUCUUCUGGCACAUCCAUCCAACUACAAAUGUGGAGUCUUCCAUCUCUUCGGGAGCUAACCAUUAGGUGUUCGUCACUUACAUCUAUUGGAGGAAGCAUUACAGCAUUGUCGUCCCUUAAUGUCCUAAGUAUUUCUUUCUGUUCUAUAAAUUGUCAACCCUUGACAAUCUCCUAA
rnacentral:rRNA from 1 species